GCCCGUCCCCUCCCGCCGCCCGACUCCACGAACGUACCUACCGGGUAACGGGACCGGAAGGCCGAGGUAACGGGAAAGUAAUUUAGGGUUCGAAUGGAGGCGAACUCUGAACCAGCCAUGCGCGUGCAGGAAGACGGCCCUACGGGUUGUAACUAGCUUUGUUACCGGAAUAAACCUUAGAUACGUGUAUCAAGCUGAAUGUACGGUAAGAAUAAGGAUCGGCUAACUCCGUGCCAGCAGCCGCGGUAAUUC
rnacentral:rRNA from 1 species